AGUGAACGCUGGCGGUAGGCCUAACACAUGCAAGUCGAACGGCAGCACAGUAAGAGCUUGCUCUUACGGGUGGCGAGUGGCGGACGGGUGAGGAAUACAUCGGAAUCUACUUUUUCGUGGGGGAUAACGUAGGGAAACUUACGCUAAUACCGCAUACGACCUACGGGUGAAAGCAGGGGAUCUUCGGACCUUGCGCGAUUGAAUGAGCCGAUGUCGGAUUAGCUAGUUGGCGGGGUAAAGGCCCACCAAGGCGACGAUCCGUAGCUGGUCUGAGAGGAUGAUCAGCCACACUGGAAAUGAGACACGGUCCAGACUCCUACGGGAGGCAGCAGUGGGGAAUAUUGGACAAGGGGCGCAAGCCUGAUCCAGCCAUACCGCGUGGGUGAAGAAGGCCUUCGGGUUGUAAAGCCCUUUUGUUGGGAAAGAAAAGCAGCAGGUUAAUACCCCGCUGUUCUGACGGUACCCAAAGAAUAAGCACCGGCUAACUUCGUG
rnacentral:rRNA from 1 species